GCGUUGUCCGGAUUUAUUGGGCGUAAAGCGCGCGUAGGCGGCCCGUUAAGUCGGGUGUGAAAACCCGGGGCUCAACCCCGGGCCUGCAUUCGAUACUGACAGGCUAGAGGCAGGUAGGGGGAAGCGGAAUUCCUGGUGUAGCGGUGAAAUGCGCAGAUAUCAGGAGGAACACCGGUGGCGAAGGCGGCUUCCUGGACCUGUCCUGACGCUCAGGCGCGAAAGCUAG
rnacentral:rRNA from 1 species